GUCACAAAAGCUCGUCCUGGCAUUGUAGAAUCUGAUCCUCUCUCUCCUUUACCAAUUACCACGUAUAAAUACGACAAAGUCUACUCUCUCACUCUCUCUCGCUCUCUUGCAGUCAGCAGAUCCUACUUUUCAGCCUCCCCAGAAUCAACGCCACCGUCAACACCACCUUGACAUUGCAAUACCACCCACGCAGAAACCCGAGCAGAGAACACAGAGGUUUUGGUUCACUGGUUUCUGGGUGUUCUUUAAUAGGCAGCAGAUCCUUCUUUUCAGCCUCCCCUGAAUCAACACCACCUUGACAUUGCAAUACCGCCCACGCAGACACCCGAGCAUAGAACACAGAGCAAGGAACUCUGCCGUAGGUGACAGCUUUUUUUAAGUCCAAAUAUGAGUCUGGCAUGCCUGGUGUGCCAUAGUGUAGAAAGUCCAUCGCACUCUUUUAGGAGUUACUCUGUUUCAAGUGCAGAAAAUGAGGGAAGAUGUUCUGCCAUUGCCAACUGCUUAGCGAGGAGGCCAUCUUUUCCACUACCAACACAUUCCAACAUUGCAUCAUCCAAAGUAACCCCACAACCAACUCUUCCAAACAGCGGUUCCAUGUCAGGUGCUCCACGGCUAGUUCGAAGCCGGGCUGUGAGAAGGGACAUCGUGCAAGACUGGAACUUUGACGAGGUUGUGAUGGGGCGUUAGAUUUUUUAAAUAUGACUCCAGAGUAGAGGGCUCUUUCCAUGGUAUAGUGCUAGGAGACAAUAAUCUUGCCAUCUAUUUUUGUUAGUUAUGGCUGCAAUUGAACUCACUUUUCCUCUGGAAGAGUUUGUGCAUUUGUAACCAUCUGAGAAAAUCGUCACGUUGUUUAUAAUUUUACCCUUUUGGUAGUCUUUUGCAGAUCAAUCUUAUUUCUCUAA